GACGAACGCUGGCGGCGUGCUUAACACAUGCAAGUCGAGCGAUGAAGCUCCUUCGGGAGUGGAUUAGCGGCGGACGGGUGAGUAACACGUGGGCAACCUGCCUUAUAGAGAGGAAUAGCCAUCCGAAAGGAUGAUUAAUACCUCAUAAUAUUGUAGUUUCGCAUGGAGCAACAAUCAAAGGAGCAAUCCGCUAUAAGAUGGGCCCGCGGCGCAUUAGCUAGUUGGUGAGGUAACGGCUCACCAAGGCGACGAUGCGUAGCCGACCUGAGAGGGUGAUCGGCCACAUUGGGACUGAGACACGGCCCAGACUCCUACGGGAGGCAGCAGUGGGGAAUAUUGCACAAUGGGGGAAACCCUGAUGCAGCAACGCCGCGUGAGUGAUGACGGCCUUCGGGUUGUAAAGCUCUGUCUUCAGGGACGAUAAUGACGGUACCUGAGGAGGAGGCCACGGCUAACUACGUGCCAGCCGCCGCAGUAAAAC
rnacentral:rRNA from 1 species